AAAACAUGUCCUUUAGUUUUUAUUUAAGGUCGGGCCUGCUCAAUGAAUAUUUAAAUAGCCGCAGUAUAUUGACUGUGCUAAGGUAGCAUAAUAAUUAGUCCUUUAAUUGAGGUCUGGAAUGAAUGGUUUGACGAGAAAAAUUCUUUAUUUGCUGGAUUUUUUUUGAAUUUAUUUUUUUGGUUAAAAUUCCAAAGUUUGGAAGAGGGACGAUAAGACCCCAUAGAUCUUUAUAAUUUUAUUUACAUUGAUUUUUUUGUUGUUUUUUUUUAAUGUAAAUUUAUUUGUUUUACUGGGGCGGUGGCUAAAAAAUUAAACUUUAGUUUAUUUUUACAUUUUUUUGUGGUUAUUUUGAUCUUUAAUUUUUGAUUGUAAGAACAAGAUACCUUGGGGAUAACAGCGUUAUUUAUUUGGAGAGUUCAAAUCGAUAGAUAAGUUUGCGACCUCGAUGUUGGAUUAAAAUUAAUUUAUGGGGUAGGUUUUAUAUAAUUAGGUCUGUUCGACCUUUAAAAUU
rnacentral:rRNA from 1 species